GUGUGUGUAGGAGGAAUUAAUUUUAAUCAAGUGGAAACUAGGAAACACUUGAUCUAGAUUAAUUUAAAA
rnacentral:sRNA from 10 species